GUGCCAGCAGCCCGCGGUAAUACGUAGGGCGCAAGCGUUAUCCGGAAUUAUUGGGCGUAAAGAGCUCGUAGGCGGUUUGUCGCGUCUGCUGUGAAAUCCGGAGGCUCAACCUCCGGCCUGCAGUGGGUACGGGCAGACUAGAGUGCGGUAGGGGAGAUUGGAAUUCCUGGUGUAGCGGUGGAAUGCGCAGAUAUCAGGAGGAACACCGGUGGCGAAGGCAGAUCUCUGGGCCGUAACUGACGCUGAGGAGCGAAAGGGUGGGGAGCAAACAGGCUUAGAUACCCUGGUAGUCCACCCCGUAAACGUUGGGAACUAGUUGUGGGGUCCAUUCCACGGAUUCCGUGACGCAGCUAACGCAUUAAGUUCCCCGCCUGGGGAGUACGGCCGCAAGGCUAAAACUCAAAGGAAUUGACGGGGACCCGCACAAGCGGCGGAGCAUGCGGAUUAAUUCGAUGCAACGCGAAGAACCUUACCAAGGCUUGACAUAUACGAGAACGGGCCAGAAAUGGUCAACUCUUUGGACACUCGUAAACAGGUGGUGCAUGGUUGUCGUCAGCUCGUGUCGUGAGAUGUUGGGUUAAGUCCCGCAACGAGCGCAACCCUCGUUCUAUGUUGCCAGCACGUAAUGGUGGGAACUCAUGGGAUACUGCCGGGGUCAACUCGGAGGAAGGUGGGGAUGACGUCAAAUCAUCAUGCCCCUUAUGUCUUGGGCUUCACGCAUGCUACAAUGGCCGGUACAAAGGGCUGCAAUACCGCGAGGUGGAGCGAAUCCCAAAAAGCCGGUCCCAGUUCGGAUUGAGGUCUGCAACUCGACCUCAUGAAGUCGGAGUCGCUAGUAAUCGCAGAUCAGCAACGCUGCGGUGAAUACGUUCCCGGGUCUUGUACACACCGCCCGUCAAGUCAUGAAAGUCGGUAACACCUGAAGCCGGUGGCCUAACCCUUGUGGAGGGAGCCGUCGAAGGUGGGAUCGGUAAUUAGGACUAAGUCGUAACAAGGUAGCC
rnacentral:rRNA from 1 species